GACGAACUGUCCAAACGUUGUUCGGAAUCACUGGGCUUAAAGGGCGCGUAGGCGGUCGACCAAGUCAGGGGUGAAAUCCUGCAGCUUAACUGUAGAAGUGCCUUUGAUACUGGUCGUCUGGAGGGAGAUAGGGGUGUGUGGAACUUCCAGUGGAGCGGUGAAAUGCGCAGAUAUCGGGAAGAACACCUAUGGCGAAGGCAGCUCUCUGGGACGGUACUGACGCUGAGACGCGAAAGCGUGGGGAGCAAACAGG
rnacentral:rRNA from 1 species